UCCCGAAGUGCUGGGAUGACAGGCAUGAGCCACCACACCCGGCCUGGAUGUUCUCCAGCUGAUGGAUGUUUCUCUUGGCUAUGGGUGACAUUUUCACCUCUGUGUGUUUAGUAAUUUUUUUGAUAGAUAUUGUGAAUGUUACAUUGUUGAGGGUCUGAAAUUUGUCUUCCUUUCAAAAUUAUUGAAUUUUUUUGCAGGCAGCUUAAUGACUGUAGAUCAGCUUAGUCCUUUGAGGCUUGUUUCUGAGCUUGGCUGAGGCUGGUCUACAGCGGCCUUUACUCCAGGUUAGCCGUGCUCCUGGUAGGGCUGGACCCUUCGCAGUUCUCACUGAGUGCCGCCACUGGGCAGCAAGGCCCACCACUCUGGCUCAUCACACUUUGAGCACCUCCCAGGCCUGCAAGCUAUUUGGGGAUUGUCUGCUGUCAGCUCCCCGUGGCUUGUGGCCUGGCCCCAUGGUGUGUGCAGCUUAACGUUCAUCCAAACACUCAUGGCAGCACUGGGGACUUCCUCUUCAUGGGUCCCAGUUUCUUUCUCGUACUGGACCCCAUAAAUGCGAGCCUUCUGUACCUCCCCAGAGUCCAACCUCUGCCUCCUCAACUUAGUGAGUUGAUACCAUGCCUGUGUUUCCCCUUCAUAUGCUGUAUUCUAGAAAAUGCCACCAGGCAGAGAGCUGGCAUCAUGGGAGGUGCCCCCCCCAUCUCCAUCCUCCUGGGCAGGUCACAGCACUGCACCCUCCAACAUCUAACAGCAGCUGUUGCAUGGAUUUUGUCCAGCUUUCUAGUUUAGGGCAGGAGGGCAAGUCCAAUACUUGUUAAUCAUGGCUGGAAGGGGAGGUCACUGUACCAUUUUUUAUGUAACCGGUAAAUAUAAAUUGGUAAGGAGUUGACAAUCCUAUUAAUUUGGAGUCAGCUACCUGGUGGCUAUCAGUCUCAUUCUCUCUCCUGCCCACCUUUCCUGCCUGUGUUCCUGGCGUUCUUUUUGAAAGCAGGCUGCAAGCAGUCACAUCGUCACCCUGGGGCAUUUCCCUGUGCUUUGUGCUGCCUGGAAGAGCUCAUAGCCAAGGAAGGGUGAAGACGGCGCGCUGCGGUGUGCGGCUUCUAGGCUGUGGAGCUCUAGUGUUGCCUUUUGGGUUCAGGGACCCACUGGGCCACUGUGAGGUGGGCUGGAGCUGCAUUUCACCGACUGCCUUGCUGCAGGAGCCCUGCUCUGACUGGAGGGCCACAGAGCACACCGGGCCCCCCCGUAAGCCAGGUGGCCUUAACGCCUGCCAUUCUCCACAGAGGGUAGAGUUGCAGGAGCUUCCACUUUGAUUUUCCCACUACAAGACUCACUCUGUUGAUCAAGGAACCAGUUGAGGUUUUGCCCAGUUGCCAGCUUCAAAUACAUACUUCAUCGCCUGCUUGGUGAAAAUGGAGCUGGGCCCUAAAUUGUUUCUCCUUUAAAGCAGGAGUGAUUGCCCAUUGACUGUGGACCAGCUCUGGCUACGGGAAAACCAGAGAACCUCUCCAUCAUCCAUACUGCACCAAACAGCAUCUCUGCAACCACACCUUUUCCAAGAUUUGAGCCCCAGCCUUGGGGAGGAGGCCAUCUUUCACAUUUUCUCCUUCCUUGGGAACUCUCUGUCAGCCCAGAGUAUUCUUUUGCAUUAUCUUUAGCCCUGUACAGAUAAUUCCAUUAUAGUAAAUAAUCCUUUAUAUUAAACGUUCC
rnacentral:lncRNA from 1 species